rnacentral:rRNA from 1 species
UGGAAAGGAUUGAUCCCUGCUCAGGGACGAACGGCUGGCCGGCGUGCCUAUACAUGCAAAGUCGAGCGGACAGAUGGGAGCUUGCUCCCCGAUGGUAGCGGCGGAACGGUUAGGUACACCUUGGGUACCUGCCUGGUAGACUUGGAUAACUCCGGGAAACCGGGGCUUAAAACGGAUGCUUGAAUUAACCGCAAGGGUCAAUUAAUAAAGGUGGCUUUUAGCUACCACUUACAGAUGGACCCGCGGCGCAUUAGCUAGUUGGUGAGGUAACGGCUCACCAAGGCAACGAUGCGUAGCCGACCUGAGAGGGUGAUCGGCCACACUGGGACUGAGACACGGCCCAGACUCCUACGGGAGGCAGCAGUAGGGAAUCUUCCGCAAUGGACGAAAGUCUGACGGAGCAACGCCGCGUGAGUGAUGAAGGUUUUCGGAUCGUAAAACUCUGUUGUUAGGGAAGAACAAGUACCGUUCGAAUAGGGCGGUACCUUGACGGUACCUAACCAGAAAGCC